rnacentral:lncRNA from 1 species
CAUAAUUGCUUUUAUUUGAAAACUCUGCACCUUGAAUGUAUUAGUAAUAAUGGCUUUGCACUCUUCUUACCUACACUUUUGGCUUCUAGCUACUUAUGAUCCAUUUGUAUUGAUCGACUCUUAGUAACCACCAAACUUCCCAGUCUUAUCAUCAUCGUCACAAAGUUACAAGAUCGUUCAGAAAGAUAUACUGAACUUUUAAUGCUUUUUUGGUAUCGCCAU